AAUCAACGCUGGCGGCGUGCCUCAGACAUGCAAGUCGAACGAUUAAAGCUCUCUUCGGAGAGUGCAUAGAGUGGCGCACGGGUGAGUAACACGUAAGUAAUCUACCUUCGAGUGGGAAUAACGUCCGGAAACGGACGCUAAUACCGCAUAAUGCAGCGGCAUCGCAAGAUGACAGUUGUUAAAGAAUUUAUUCGCUUGAAGAGGAGCUUGCGCAGAUUAGCUAGUUGGUAAGUAAUGGCUUACCAAGGCUACGAUCUGUAACCGGUCUAAGAGGACGGUCGGUCACACUGACACUGAAUAACGGGUCA
rnacentral:rRNA from 1 species